AUUGAACGCUGGCGGCAUGCCUAACACAUGCAAGUCGAACGAGUGGGGGGCGGGUGAGAAAUGUCUGGGAAACUGCCCGAUGGAGGGGGACAACUACUGGAAGCGGUAGCUAAACCCGCAUAGCUGUGGCUGUGCCCAUAUGGGAGUAGCUAGUAGGUGGGGUAAAGGCUCACCUAGGACACGAUCCCUAGCUGGUCUGAGAGGAUGACCAGCCACACUGGAACUGAGACACGGUCCAGACUCCGACGGGAGGCAGCAGUGGGGAAUAUUGCACAAUGGGCGUAAGCCUGAUGCAGCCAUGCCGCGUGUAUGAAGAAGGCCUUCGGGUUGUAAAGUACUUUCAGCGGGGAAGCGUUACCCGCAGAAGAAGCACCGGCUAACUCCGUGCCAGCAGCCGCGGUAAUAC
rnacentral:rRNA from 1 species